rnacentral:rRNA from 1 species
AAUAAAGACUAGUAUGAAAGGCAUCACGAGAACUAAACUGUCUCCCUUUUCUAAUCAGUGAACCUAAUCUCCCCGUGAAGAAGCGGGGAUUUUUUAAUAAGACGAGAAGACCCUAUGGAGCUUAAAAUAUCAUAACACCUGACACCCUUACCCCCCCCCCCAAGAUGAUUAUGUAUUUUUGGUUGGGGUGACCGCGGAGAAAAACCCAUCCUCCGCGAUAAAAGAGCCCCCCUCCCCAACAAGCUACAGCUUUAUGUAUUAGAAAACUAACCCAAUUGACCCAAUAUAUUGAUUAACGAAC